rnacentral:rRNA from 1 species
UUAAUUGAAGAGUUUGAUCAUGGCUCAGAUUGAACGCUGGCGGCAGGCCUAACACAUGCAAGUCGAGCGGCAGCGACAACAUUGAACCUUCGGGGGAUUUGUUGGGCGGCGAGCGGCGGACGGGUGAGUAAUGCCUGGGAAAUUGCCCUGAUGUGGGGGAUAACCAUUGGAAACGAUGGCUAAUACCGCAUGAUAGCUUCGGCUCAAAGAGGGGGACCUUCGGGCCUCUCGCGUCAGGAUAUGCCCAGGUGGGAUUAGCUAGUUG